GAGCCGCAGCCUCUCCGUGCUCCCUCGCCUGGCUGAGCAGCGACCACCCAGCCACGUCACUUCCUGUGGUCGGGCCACACCCAUCUUCUCGGGCAGGAAGCGCCUCCUGGUACUCUGCACACAUGCUUCUGGGCCACGGAGCUGCCGGGCCCACCACCCCAGCUGUGUGCCCUCCACGGGGCCCGGCACGAUCCUCGGCCCCGCCCUCGAGGCCUGGAAGGCGGCCCCUCGACAGAGGCCUGACCUGGACCUGGGCCACAUCGGGCCCCGGGCUCUGCUGUCACGGAAAGGCCGUCCUACCACCUGUCCUGAACCCGCCUUACUGACCCGGCCUUCGUGCGAAUCUGGACUCUGGGGGAGGGGGUGGUGCCUGGGCGGAGGGCCGCGGAGUGUGCCAGGCACGGUGCGUGAGCCUUCCCACGUGCACGUGUCCCAGCUCUCACCUCGGCUCUGAGCGGGGACGUCACAGCUCUCCUGCUACGGGCCUGGAAACCGGACGUGUGUGUGCAAUGGACGGAGUCUGGCUGUCCUUGGGAAACAUUCCCACCUUAAGUCCUGAGACCCAAGUGAUGGGCUGAGAAGGUGGGGCCCGGGAGAUGAUUCAAGCACGAG
rnacentral:lncRNA from 1 species